AACCGCACGGAAAAAUCCGUCUUCCCGUGCGGUCGGGUUAAGUGGACCGCACGGGAUAAUCGGAUUUUCACGUGCGGGC
rnacentral:pre_miRNA from 11 species